AACUAAUCUGUUGUAUUGUAGACCCUGGAGCCCCCGCAGUAUGUAUACUGGUUCCACAAUGAGAGAAUAAUCAACUAUGACACGGCGAGAACUAGAGUCUCCUUUGAUCAAGGUGAGAAUAAUAAGAAGACGAGUAGUCGGCUGGUUAUAGCAGGAGUGCAGAGAACUGAUAGCGGCAACUACACGUGCACAACAGAUACUGCUCGCCCCAGCGUUAUUGUAGUUUACGUGUCGGAUGAUUUGUCCCAGCCCUGGCAGAAUGGAAAUCAAGGGUUCAAAGUGUACUCUGCUGGAUUCAGCCUGUUUUUCAUCUUCACAGUGUUAUUUAUGUAACUGUACUGUACAGCAUUACAUGUACUCUACUGCACAGAGUGCACUGCACUCUGUACAGUAGAGAACACUGUGUACUGUACUGUACAGAGUACGCUGUACUUCACAGAACAGUGUACUUUACUGUACAGAGUGUACUGUUCUUCACAGAACAGUGUACUGUACUGUACAGAGUGUACUGUUCUUCCCAGAACAGUGUACUGUACUGUUAAUAAUGUUCUGUGCAGCAUAUGUAUACUUUAAAACAAUGUUCUUUACAGUUAGGUAUUGCAGUGUAUACUGUAAUUUAAAGCUUGUACCUUUUUGUUAAAAGUGUACAGUACAGCACAGAGCCCGAAACUUAAAACAGAGUAUCAUAAUGAAACCCAGUAUCAGAAACCCGGUUUC